rnacentral:rRNA from 1 species
UACGGAGGGAGCUAGCGUUGUUCGGAAUUACUGGGCGUAAAGCGCACGUAGGCGGCUUUGUAAGUUAGAGGUGAAAGCCCGGGGCUCAACCCCGGAAUUGCCUUUAAGACUGCAUCGCUUGAAUCCGGGAGAGGUGAGUGGAAUUCCGAGUGUAGAGGUGAAAUUCGUAGAUAUUCGGAAGAACACCAGUGGCGAAGGCGGCUCACUGGACCGGUAUUGACGCUGAGACGCGAAAGCGUGGGGAGCGAACAGG